rnacentral:rRNA from 1 species
ACCGGCCACACUGGGAUUGAGAUACGGCCCAGACUCCUACGGGGGGCAGCAGUCUAGAAGCUUCGACAAUGGGGGAAACCCUGAUCGAGCGACGCCGCGUGCAGGAUGAAGGUCUUCGGAUCGUAAACUGCUUUCGCCGGAGAAGAAAGGCUCUGCGGUUAAUAUCCGCAGUGUCUGACGGUAUUUGGUAAAGAAGCCCCGGCUAAGUCCGUGCCAGCAGCCGCGGUAAUACGGGCGGGGCAAGCGUUGUUCGGAUUUAUUGGGUGUAAAGGGUGCGCAGGCGGUCGACUAAGUCGAAGGUGAAAUUUCUACGGCUCAACCGAGGAACUGCCUCCGAUACUGAUCGACUUGAGUGCGGAAGGGGAGCGUGGAAUUCCUGGUGUAGCGGUGAAAUGCGUAGAUAUCAGGAGGAACACCCGUGGCGAAGGCGACGCUCUGGUCCGUAACUGACGCUCAUGCACGAAAGCCAGGGGAGCGAACGGGAUUAGAUACCCCGGUAGUCCUGGCUGUAAACGUUGGGCACUAGGUGUGGGGGGUAUCGACCCCCCCCGUGCCGUAGCUAACGCAUUAAGUGCCUCACCUGGGGAGUACGACCGCAAGGUUGAAACUCAAAGGAAUUGACGGGGGCCCGCACAAGCGGUGGAUUAUGCGGUUUAAUUCGAGGCAACGCGAAGAACCUUACCCGGGCUUGACAUCACCAAAAGGAUCUAUGGCCGCCAGAGAUGGCGGUCUUAGGAAGACAGGUGUUGCAUGGCUGUCGUCAGCUCGUGUCGCGAGAUGUUGGGUUAAGUCCCGCAACGAGCGCAACCCCUAUCGUCAGUUACCAGCGGGUAAACCGGGGACUCUGGCGAAACUGCCGCCGACAAGGUGGAGGAAGGUGGGGAUGACGUCAAGUCAGCAUGGCCCUUACGUCCGGGGCUACACGCGUAAUACAAUGGCUGGUACAGAGGGCUGCAAGACCGCAAGGUGGAGCGAAUCCCACAAACCCAGCCCCAGUUCAGAUUGGGGUCUGCAACUCGACCCCAUGAAGUCGGAAUCGCUAGUAAUCGUAGAUCGGCACGCUACGGUGAAUACGUUCCCGGGCCUUGUACACACCGCCCGUCACAUGACUCGAGUCGUCUGCACCCGAAGCCGGUCACCCAACCCGUAAGGGAGGGAGCUGUCCACGGUGUGGAGGGUAAGAGGGAUGAAGUCGUAACAAGGUA